rnacentral:rRNA from 1 species
UACGUAGGGAGCAAGCGUUGUCCGGAAUCAUUGGGCGUAAAGCGCGCGUAGGCGGCCUCAUAAGUCCGUUGUGAAAGUCAAAGGCUCAACCUUUGAAAGCCGAUGGAUACUGUGAGGCUAGAGUCCGGAAGAGGCGAGUGGAAUUCCAGGUGUAGCGGUGAAAUGCGUAGAUAUCUGGAGGAACACCGGUGGCGAAGGCGGCGUCCUGGACCAACACUGACACUGAGGAGCGAAAGCCAGGGGAGCAAACGGG